GAUGAAGAACGUAGCGAAAUGCGAUAAGUAAUGUGAAUUGCAGAAUUCAGUGAAUCAUCGAAUCUUUGAACGCACCUUGCGCCCUUUGGCUAUUCCGAAGGGCAUGCCUGUUUGAGUAUCAUGAACACCUCAACUCUCAUGGUUCGCCAUGAUGAGCUUGGACUUUGGGGGUCUUGCUGGCCUGUGGGUCGGCUCCUCUCAAAUGAAUCAGCUUGCCGGUUUUUGGUGGGCAUCACAGGUGUGAUAACUAUCUACGCUUGUGGUUUUCCACCAGGGUAACCUUCAGCAGUGGAGGUUCACUGGAGCUUACAAAUGUCUCUCCUCUGUGAGGACAGCCCUUUGAAUGUUUGAUCUCAAAUCAGGUAGGACUACCCGCUGAACUUAAGCAUAUCAAUAAGCGGAGGA
rnacentral:misc_RNA from 1 species